GUGCCAGCAGCCGCGGUAAUACAGAGGUCUCAAGCGUUGUUCGGAAUCACUGGGCGUAAAGGGUGCGUAGGCGGCGGGGAAAGUCAGAUGUGAAAUCCGGAGGCUCAACCUCCGAAAUGCAUCCGAUACUCCCUCGCUAGAGAUUUGUAGAGGAGUCUGGAAUUCUCGGUGUAGCAGUGAAAUGCGUAGAUAUCGAGAAGAACGCUCGCAGCGAAGGCGAGACUCUGGGCAAAUUCUGACGCUGAUGCACGAAGGCUAGGGGAGCAAACGGGAUUAGAAACCCUCGUAGUCC
rnacentral:rRNA from 1 species